CUAGAGUUUGGAAUCAUGGCUCAGAUUGAACGCUGGCGGCAGGCCUAACACAUGCAAGUCGAGCGGAUGAAGGGAGCUUGCUCCUGGAUUCAGCGGCGGACGGGUGAGUAAUGCCUAGGAAUCUGCCUGGUAGUGGGGGAUAACGUCCGGAAACGGGCGCUAAUACCGCAUACGUCCUGAGGGAGAAAGUGGGGGAUCUUCGGACCUCACGCUAUCAGAUGAGCCUAGGUCGGAUUAGCUAGUUGGUGGGGUAAAGGCCUACCAAGGCGACGAUCCGUAACUGGUCUGAGAGGAUGAUCAGUCACACUGGAACUGAGACACGGUCCAGACUCCUACGGGAGGCAGCAGUGGGGAAUAUUGGACAAUGGGCGAAAGCCUGAUCCAGCCAUGCCGCGUGUGUGAAGAAGGUCUUCGGAUUGUAAAGCACUUUAAGUUGGGAGGAAGGGCAGUAAGUUAAUACCUUGCUGUUUUGACGUUACCAACAGAAUAAGCACCGGCUAACUUCGUGCCAGCAGCCGCGGUAAUACGAAGGGUGCAAGCGUUAAUCGGAAUUACUGGGCGUAAAGCGCGCGUAGGUGGUUCAGCAAGUUGGAUGUGAAAUCCCCGGGCUCAACCUGGGAACUGCAUCCAAAACUACUGAGCUAGAGUACGGUAGAGGGUGGUGGAAUUUCCUGUGUAGCGGUGAAAUGCGUAGAUAUAGGAAGGAACACCAGUGGCGAAGGCGACCACCUGGACUGAUACUGACACUGAGGUGCGAAAGCGUGGGGAGCAAACAGGAUUAGAUACCCUGGUAUGUCCACGCCGUAAACGAUGUCGACUAGCCGUUGGGAUCC
rnacentral:rRNA from 1 species